AUUGAACGCUGGCGGCAGGCCUAACACAUGCAAGUCGAGCGGAUGAGGAAAGCUUGCUUUUCGAUUCAGCGGCGGACGGGUGAGUAAUGCCUAGGAAUCUGCCUGUUAGUGGGGGAUAACUCGGGGAAACUCGGGCUAAUACCGCAUACGUCCUACGGGAGAAAGUGGGGGAUCUUCGGACCUCACGCUAACAGAUGAGCCUAGGUCGGAUUAGCUAGUAGGUGAGGUAAUGGCUCACCUAGGCGACGAUCCGUAACUGGUCUGAGAGGAUGAUCAGUCACACUGGAACUGAGACACGGUCCAGACUCCUACGGGAGGCAGCAGUGGGGAAUAUUGGACAAUGGGCGAAAGCCUGAUCCAGCCAUGCCGCGUGUGUGAAGAAGGUCUUCGGAUUGUAAAGCACUUUAAGUUGGGAGGAAGGGUAUUCACCUAAUACGUGGGUACUUUGACGUUACCAACAGAAUAAGCACCGGCUAACUCUGUGCCAGCCGCCGCAGUAA
rnacentral:rRNA from 1 species